CUGAACUGGAGUUGGCUUAAAGGGAGGCCCCAAGCAAGGAAGGAAGGAGGCAGGCAGGCAGGCAGGCAGAGUGGCCCCCACAGCUCUCUGCAGCAGACCCCUCUGCCCAGCCCAGCAUUUGCCAGAUACGAUGCUGAUGUGUGGAGAGACCCCACGGAUAAAGUGGAUCAAGAUGAGAUGGAGGGGUGGCUUUGCCGAGUCUUUGCUGACAUGAUAGCACUCUGGGCAGACUUGUUUCCUGUGCCCUGGAAUCAACUUCCAUUCAUUCAUUUCUAUUUUUUCUUUAAUUUUAAAAAUUCUUCCUUCCUGAAAAGCUCAACUCAUUUUUUAAAAAUUAAAAUUAAUUUGUCAUGGA